GUUGUUUUGAAAACACAAUUGAUGCAGGAAAAUGGCCAGGGAAAAGUUUGAAGAACAACCCAACCUAAACCAAAAAAACACCCCAACACUCACCUUUUUUAAAGAAUUACCAAUAUCUCCUGCAGUAGGUAUAUCCAAGUUUGAGCAAUGGUCGGCUUCCGCACCUGAAAUAUUGGAUUAGUGAUGUUUUCAGAGCUGCGAGGUCAAACCCUGCCUCUGGAGCACUGUAUUUACUGCAACCGGCUGUACUCUACUGAGACACGUUUGCAUAGGAAGCAAUUCCAACUGCCUGCGAGCGAAGGGAGGAGUUUCACGGUACUUUUCACCGUCAAUCAAGCAGGUAAUACCCAGUAGGCAAAACUGGUUCAGAAUAUGUUAGUUUAACGUCUUUUUAAUACGUCUUGUUCUGGUCGCAAACUGGUUGAAAAUAUAUAAAAAAUGUUAUGUGACUUUUUUUCUGACUACCAUAUGACCAGAUGGUCAUAAUUUUUACCACUAUAUUAUGUGCUAUAUUAUGCCCUGGUCAUAGUUAAAUUCAUAGUUAAGAUCAUCAUGACCUGGUAAUGACCACCACCUGACUACAGUUUAUUACGUACUGUAAAAAGUAUUGCAGAGGACAAAGUUUGAUAUUGAAAACAUUGAUAAUUACAUUUCUAUUUGUUACCAUAGGCAUCAAUUCAAGUGUAAAUCUGCAACAUAUUCUUACAUUUAGAUAUAGAUAAAGCAAUGGCAAAAACAAAUCUACAUCACCAUUUUUUGCACAUCUGCAUACAGUAAUUGUUUCAAAAUUCACCCACAGACAUUACAUGUAUAGAGAGACUGGGACAGAAUAUAUAUAUAUAAUAUAAAAUCAAAAUGUAUCUGUCACAUGCGCUGAAUACAACAUGUGUAGACCUUACCGUGAAAUGCUUACUUACAAGCCCUUAACCAACAAUGCAGUUUUAAGAAAAUAUUUACUAAAUAAAGUGAAGUAAUAACACAAUAAAAUAACAAUAACGGGGCUAUAUAAAGCCAAUUGUUUUGUUGUACUAAUUAGAAUGGUGUGAUUGAGUAGAUCCUCAUCAAGGACCUCUGAGCACAGAAGGCGAUCUGGAGCAUAGUGGCCCUCUUGAAGAGUGGUGUCAUGGGUCAGAUCUGCAGUGAAGCGAAUCAGCGCAUUACAACUUCAUCAAUUUCAGAUUGUAAAAUAACUAGAAAAUGAUAUUCCUGACAAAACUUUGGACUUAGCUGGCUAAAAAUAUUUCCAUGGUACUAGUUAAAGAAGUUUGUGGCAGUUAUAGCUUAGAGAUGUCUUCAAAAAAAGAGCAACUUGCUCAUAUACAUAUUUUGUAUUCUCCUCCACCAUGGCGGUCAGAGGCCCGCAACACAUCAACCAAUCAAUGACACUUACAGUAAGCAAUAAAAUAAAUAAACAAUUGGCAUAAUGUGGGCAUGCAGGACAUGACAGAACAGUAACGCACAGUCAAAUAUUUGUAACAGAUUCUACAAAAAAUGUCUCACUGUCCAUGUCAAAGGUCACAACCCCCCACAUUAACUUACCAACUGCAAUGGAAUGUUUGGACCUCUGUGCCUUUAUAUUGAAGUGGGACAUUAAUUAAUUGAUCAUCAAUCUGAAACAUUUUAAGAAAGAGGAUAUAAAAAUUUGCCUAGUUGGAUAAUUAUAAUUUUAAUGUUUAAAGAGAAAAUCUAGAUACAAUAAAAUAUUAUAUUUUUCA